rnacentral:misc_RNA from 1 species
CGCACAUUGCGCCCCUCGGUAUUCCGUGGGGCAUGCCUGUUCGAGCGUCAUUACACCCCUCAAGCUCUGCUUGGUGUUGGGCCUCUGUCGCGCCUUAUCCGCGCCGACUGGCCUCAAAUGCUUCGGCAGCCUCCUCGCCGGCCCUCUCAGCGCAGCAGUUCGCGCCUGUGAGCCGGUGGGAGAGCCGCCUCCACCGAAACCCCCCCAAGUUUGACCUCGGAUCAGGCAGGGAUACCCGCUGAACUUAA